UUGGUUUGAAAUCAUGGUUGUCUGAGGAUUUGCUAGUAUCUAUUUUGGUGUAGUAUGUAAUGUGCUCUUAUUUACAUUACCCAGCAUCAUUUAUCUGUUUAUUUAAUAUGCCCUUUAGUGAGGAAUACUGUAGUUAAAAAUUGUUAAAACUUCAUUUAUUAUAACAAUGAAACAAUUUCUUGCACAAUGAAACAAGGCUGAUUAACUUUC
rnacentral:lncRNA from 1 species